rnacentral:rRNA from 1 species
AUGUCUACGGUGACCCGCGCAUACCUCGACCAGAGGCUCGCCGUCGCCAAGCGCUGCUCCAGAGAGGCCGCGGCUGUCGCCACCGUUGCAGCAGCAGUCCCCACCGUAAGUGCACAUUGCUCAGCCGGCACGGCUAGUUGCAAGGACGAACAAUCUCACCAAGUUCUUCCUCCGUGCCUUUCUCUGCAGCUGGCGAGCGUGAGGAUGCUGCCGUGGGCCAAGGCACACAUCAACCCAACUGGGCAGGCGCUCAUCAUCUCCACCGUCGCCGGGAUGGCCUACUUCAUCGUUGCCGACAAGACCAUCCUCUCCAUGGCCAGGAGGCACUCCUUCGAGGAAGCGCCGGAGCACCUCAAGAACACCUCCUUCCACUAA